CUCCAAUCCCUCAUUUCAUGGAGGUUUCUUUUCCUCCUUUCAUGGAGUGUAUUUCAUUUUCUUCCUAUCAUGGAGUGUUUCUUUCAUGGAACUUAUUCUGAUUCCAUUGUAUCUUGUUCUUCUCCAUUUAUGGAGUUUAAUACAUUGUUUCUCAUUCAAAAAUUUAACAAUUUGAAUGAUGUUUAUGCAAUAUGAAACUUUUGUGUGGUUGAACCCGAAAUUUUUGAAGAAGCCAUUAAGGAAGAAUGUUGGGAAAAAGCAAUGGAGGAAGAGAUAAAAGUUACUGAGAAAAACAGAAGUUGGGAGCUAGUUGAAAGGCCAAAAAAGAAAGAUGUGAUACGAGUAAAAUGGUUCGAGAAGGUGAAGCAUAAUUUGGAUGGAUCAUUUAAGAGAAAUAAAGCAAGAUUAGUUGUGAAAAGGUAUGCACAACAGCCCAGGAUCAACUAUGAUAAAACUUUUGUAUUAAUUGCUAGUUUAUAUACCUUUUGUCCCCCACAGCUUGCACGUAGCAGCGGCGCUUUCAGGUGCUGCUGUUUUGUGUGAAAUGCGACAAUAGAUCUUCGUGACGCAGUCGAUUCCAUGUGGCGAAGGGGCUCUCAAACACAGCUGCUACGUAGGAAGCACGAUGACAGUGAUCCUGAGAAGGCACACUGCAAUAUCAACUUUUCCAUUGAGUCAGACAAUAGAGAGUUCUUCGGGAAAAUGGAAGCACGAACAAUGAAGUGUUUUCUCAAAUUUCUAACAUUGUCCGAUGAUUUUUUGUUCUCCACCGACUGCAGUGAAAUUUCGAUAAUUUGAGAGGUCCUACUUUCUAUGUAGAUUAGGGUUGGUUAGAAUCCAUUUACGCCAAAAUUUGAUUUGGGCAUGUAGUAUAAAAUGGGUUGUUAUUAAAGAAUUAGGUUAAAACCUUUUUUUUUUUUUUUUCAAAUUAAUUGUAAUUUGGGCUGAAAUAAUUUGGUUGGGCCAAUGUAAUUAGGCUAAUUUUCAUAA
rnacentral:lncRNA from 1 species